GACGAACGCUGGCGGCGUGCUUAACACAUGCCAGUCGAACGGUGAACCUCUUCGGAGGGAAUAGUUGCGAAAGGGUUAGUUAACCCUUGGCAAACUUCCCCCCGCCUCUGGGUUACCUCCAAAAAUUUGGGCCUAUUCCCGGUUGUUCACCCCUUCCCCCAUGGGUGUGGGUGAAAGGGUUUUCCGGCUGGGGAUGGGCCCGAGGCCUAUCAGCUUGUUGGUGGGGUAGUGGCUUACCAAGGCGACGACGGGUAGCCGGCCUGGGAGGGUGACCGGCCACACUGGGACUGAGACACGGCCCAGACUCCUACGGGAGGCAGCAGUGGGGAAGAUUGCGCAAUGGGCGGAAGCCUGACGCAGCGACGCCGCGUGGGGGAUGACGGCCUUCGGGUGGUAAACCUCUUUCAGCAGGGACGAAGCGCAAGUGACGGUACCUGCAGAAGAAGCACCGGCCAACUACGU
rnacentral:rRNA from 1 species